UACGGCCACAUCACGUUGAAACAUCGUACGAUCACCGAAGUUAAGCAAUGUGGAGCCUGUUCAGUAUUGUAAUGGGUGAUCGCUUGGGAAUAUCAUGUUCUGUA